AUGGGGAGAUCCCCCCGCCUGCUGCUGCUCGCGGCGCUGCUCCCGGCGGUCGUCGCCGCCGUCGGGCCGCAGCCGGGGGCGCCGUGCGAGCCCACGCUGCUCGCGGCGCAGGUCGCGCUCUUCUGCGCGCCCGGCAUGGCCACCGCGCAGUGCUGCGAGCCCGUCCUCCUCGUCGUCGACCUCGGCGUCCCAUGCCUCUGCCGCGUCGCCGCGGAGCCGCAGCUCGUCACGGCGGGCCUCGACGUCACCCAUCUCCUCAAGACCUACAGCUCCUGCGGCGGCUUCCUUCCCGGCGUCGCCCACCUCUCCUCCGCCGCCUGCGAAGGACCCGCUCCCCCCCCCGCCGUCGUCAGCAGCCCCCCGCCCCCGCCACCAUCCGCCGCACCUCGCCGCAAGCAGCCAGCGCACGACGCACCACCGCCGCCGCCGUCGAGCGAGAAGCCAUCGUCCCAGGAGCAUGAAGGCGGCGCCGCCCACAACAUGGCCGUCCCCACCCAGGCGGCUGCUUCUCCGGUGUCUACAACCCACCAGCCAGCGGGUACGCCCCCCACCCCCUCUCUCUCUUCUGCACUCUAUCAAAUCUCGAACAUUAAUUUUGCUAGUUAUUGCGUACAGUAG
rnacentral:rRNA from 1 species